rnacentral:rRNA from 1 species
GACGGAGGAUGCAAGUGUUGUCCGGAAUCAUUGGGCGUAAAGCGCGUGUAGGCGGCUCGAUAAGUCUGCUGUGAAAGUCCAGGGCUCAACCCUGGAAAGCCGGUGGAAACUGUCGGGCUAGAGUCCGGAAGAGGCGAGUGGAAUUCCUGGUGUAGCGGUGAAAUGCGCAGAUAUCAGGAGGAACACCAAUGGCGAAGGCAGCUCGCUGGGACGGUACUGACGCUGAGACGCGAAAGCGUGGGGAGCAAACAGG